GCCCCGGGCCCGACGCUCGUCGCCCGCACUAGGUCACCAGGUCGGGGCCGUCGUCGGGGCUGCGAGGCCCCGGGCCCCGGGCCCGACGCUCGUCGCCCGCACGAGGGGACCCGGUCGGGGCCGUCGACGGGGCUGGCUCCGGGCCCGACACUCGUCGCCCGCAUGAGGGGACCGGAUCGGGGCCGUUGACGGGGCUGCGAGGCCCGGGGCUCCCGGCCCGACACUCGUCGCCCGCACGAGGGGACCCGGUCGUGGCCGCUGGUGGGACUGUGAGCGUGUG